rnacentral:rRNA from 1 species
CACGUAGGGGGCGAGCGUUGUCCGGAUUUAUUGGGCGUAAAGAGCUCGUAGGCGGCUCGGUAAGUCGGGUGUGAAAACUCUAGGCUCAACCUAGAGACGCCACCUGAUACUGCUGUGGCUAGAGUCCGGUAGGGGAGCAUGGAAUUCCUGGUGUAGCGGUGAAAUGCGCAGAUAUCAGGAGGAACACCAGUGGCGAAGGCGGUGCUCUGGGCCGGAACUGACGCUGAGGAGCGAAAGCGUGGGGAGCAAACAGG